GACAGAGGGGGCAAGCGUUGCUCGGAAUUACUGGGCGUAAAGGGCGCGUAGGCGGGAUGGCAAGUCGGUCGUGAAAUCCCUCGGCUCAACCGAGGAACGUCGAUCGAUACUGCUGUUCUUGAGGAUUGCAGAGGAGACUGGAAUUCCCGGCGUAGCGGUGAAAUGUGUAGAGAUCGGGAGGAACACCGGUGGCGAAGGCGGGUCUCUGGGCAAUUCCUGACGCUGAGGCGCGAAAGCGUGGGGAGCAAACGGG
rnacentral:rRNA from 1 species